GUAGGUGAACCUGCGGAAGGAUCAUUAUCGUGGGGCUUAACCGCCCUGUCGAGAUAGUACCCUUGCCUUUUUGAGUACCCCCGUUUCCUCGGCAGGCUUGCCUGCCAAUGAGGACCUAAACCUAAACAAUUGUACCUGUAACUACGUCUGAUAAACAAAAAGUCACAACUUUCAACAAUGGAUCUCUUGGUUCUG
rnacentral:misc_RNA from 1 species